rnacentral:rRNA from 1 species
GAUUUGGUCGGGUGGUCCGCUUAACGGCGUGUUACUGCUUGGCCGGGUCUUGUCUCUUGGUGAACCGUAGUGCCCUUUGUUGAGUGCUGCGGGGAACCAGGACUUUUACCUUGAGAAAAUUAGAGUGUUCAAAGCAGGCUAAUGCCUGAAUACAUUAGCAUGGAAUAAUAAGAUAGGACCUUGGUCUAUUUUGUUGGUUAUUGAUCAAGGUA